AGUGAAAUUGCUAGGUUAUUUGGUGACAAAAAGUUUAACUUAUUAGGGCACUACCAAAAUAUUUUCCAAAGAGACUUCACCAUUUCACAUUCCUACCAGGAAU
rnacentral:pre_miRNA from 1 species